GACUCCUACGGGAGGCAGCAGUGGCGGAAUCUUACCUGCAAUGGACGAAAGUCUGAUGGAGCGACGCCGCGUGAGUGACGAAGGCCCGCGGGUUGUAAAGCUUCUGUCAUCAGGGACGAACCGGCCACGUGCUGGUAACAUGGGACGGCAAUGACGGUACCUAGAAGAAGCCCGGCUAAUCUC
rnacentral:rRNA from 1 species